CGCAUCUGUGCAUGCAGCAUAUCAAUAAGCGGAGGAAAAGUAAAUGCUGUAUACCUACGCUUAGGAUGUUGAAGAUGUAGCACAUCAUACACGCAUGACACACUGCAUAUCAAUAAGCGGAGGAAAAGAAACUAACAAGGAUUCCCCUAGUAACGGCGAGUGAAGCGGGAAGAGCUCAAAUUUGAAAUCUUAAAGGGUUUCCCUUUACGAAUUGUAGUUUAAAGAAGUGUUUUCUGUUGAGGUUUUGGUAAAAGUUCUUUGGAAUAGGACAUCAUAGAGGGUGAGAAUCCCGUAUUUGACCUUUACUUUCAACUUUGUGAUACACUUUCAAAGAGUCGGAUUGUUUGGGAAUGCAGUCCAAAAUGGGUGGUAAAUUUCAUCUAAAGCUAAAUAUUGGCGAGAGACCGAUAGCGAACAAGUACCGUGAGGGAAAGAUGAAAAGAACUUUGAAAAGAGAGUUAAACAGUACGUGAAAUUGUCAAAAGGGAAGCGUUUGACACCAGUGUUGUUUUUCUGAAAAUCAAUUAAAGAACCGUUUAUGCUAAGUUGUUUAGACUUUAUCAGCUAUCUGUUUAGUUUUGAGCUUUUCUUUAAUGCACUUUUCAGUUAACAAGUCAACAUCAAUUUCUUUUGCUGUAAAAAAGCUUGAGGAAGGUGGCUUGAGAUUCGUCUUAAGUGUUUAUAGCCUCUUGCCUAUGCAGUCGGGGAGAUUGAGGUCUGCAGCGUAGAUCCUUCGGGGCUAAAUGCAUUUGUGCUAAGUUAUAGCAUUUUAUAGACAACUUGUUGACUAUGAUUUGUCUUGUAGCUUACUCGCUUAUGUUAUUUUACCUACGCUUAGGAUGUUGAGAUGUAGCACAUCAU
rnacentral:rRNA from 1 species